UACGUAGGGCGCAAGCGUUGUCCGGAAUUAUUGGGCGUAAAGGGCGCGUAGGCGGCGCGAGCAGUCGAUCGUGAAAGUCCGGAGCUCAACUCCGGAUCGGCGGUCGAUACUCUCGUGCUUGAGCACUGUAGAGGCAGAUGGAAUUCCGGGUGUAGCGGUGGAAUGCGUAGAGAUCCGGAAGAACACCGGUGGCGAAGGCGGUCUGCUGGGCAGUUGCUGACGCUGAGGCGCGACAGCGUGGGGAGCAAACAGG
rnacentral:rRNA from 1 species